UACGGAGGAGGCAAGCGUUAUCCGGAAUUAUUGGGCGUAAAGCGUCCGUAGGCGGUUGUACAAGUCUUUUGUCAAAGCGCGAGGCUUAACUUCGUAAGGGCAGGAGAAACUGUAGAGCUAGAGUGCGGUAGGGGUAGAGGGAAUUCCCAGUGUAGCGGUGAAAUGCGUAGAUAUUGGCAAGAACACCGGUGGCGAAAGCGCUCUACUGGGCCUGCACUGACACUGAGGGACGAAAGCUAGGGGAGCGAAAGGG
rnacentral:rRNA from 1 species